AGUGAACGCUGGCGGUAGGCCUAACACAUGCAAGUCGAACGGCAGCACAGUAAGAGCUUGCUCUUACGGGUGGCGAGUGGCGGACGGGUGAGGAAUACAUCGGAAUCUACUUUUUCGUGGGGGAUAACGUAGGGAAACUUACGCUAAUACCGCAUACGACCUACGGGUGAAAGCAGGGGAUCUUCGGGCCUUGCGCGAUUGAAUGAGCCGAUGUCGGAUUAGCUAGUUGGCGGGGUAAAGGCCCACCAAGGCGACGAUCCGUAGCUGGUCUGAGAGGAUGAUCAGCCACACUGGAACUGAGACACGGUCCAGACUCCUACGGGAGGCAGCAGUGGGGAAUAUUGGACAAUGGGCGCAAGCCUGAUCCAGCCAUACCGCGUGGGUGAAGAAGGCCUUCGGGUUGUAAAGCCCUUUUGUUGGGAAAGAAAAGCAGCAGGUUAAUACCCCGCUGUUCUGACGGUACCCAAAGAAUAGACACCGGCUAACUUCGG
rnacentral:rRNA from 1 species